AACGAACGCUGGCGGCAUGCCUAACACAUGCAAGUCGAACGAAGUCUUCGGACUUAGUGGCGCACGGGUGCGUAACGCGUGGGAAUCUGCCCUUGGGUGCGGAAUAACUUCUCGAAAGGGAUGCUAAUACCGCAUAAUGUCGUAAGACCAAAGAUUUAUCGCCCAAGGAUGAGCCCGCGUAAGAUUAGCUAGUUGGUGGGGUAAAAGCCUACCAAGGCGACGAUCUUUAGCUGGUCUGAGAGGAUGAUCAGCCACACUGGGACUGAGACACGGCCCAGACUCCUACGGGAGGCAGCAGUGGGGAAUAUUGGACAAUGGGCGAAGCCUGAUCCAGCAAUGCCGCGUGAGUGAUGAAGGCCCUAGGGUUGUAAAGCUCUUUUACCAGGGAUGAUAAUGACAGUACCUGGAGAAUAAGCUCCGGCUAACUCCGUGCCAGCAGCCGCGGU
rnacentral:rRNA from 1 species